rnacentral:rRNA from 1 species
UGGGGAAUUUUGGACAAUGGGCGCAAGCCUGAUCCAGCAAUGCCGCGUGCAGGACGAAGGCCUUCGGGUUGUAAACUGCUUUUGUACGGAACGAAACGGUCUUUUCUAAUAAAGAGGGCUAAUGACGGUACCGUAAGAAUAAGCACCGGCUAACUACGUGCCAGCAGCCGCGGUAAUACGUAGGGUGCGAGCGUUAAUCGGAAUUACUGGGCGUAAAGCGUGCGCAGGCGGUUAUAUAAGACAGAUGUGAAAUCCCUGGGCUCAACCUAGGACCUGCAUUUGUGACUGUAUAGCUAGAGUACGGUAGAGGGGGAUGGAAUUCCGCGUGUAGCAGUGAAAUGCGUAGAUAUGCGGAGGAACACCGAUGGCGAAGGCAAUCCCCUGGACCUGUACUGACGCUCAUGCACGAAAGCGUGGGGAGCAAACA